rnacentral:rRNA from 1 species
UGCCAGCAGCCGCGGUAAUACGUGGGGUGCAAACGUUGCUCGGAAUCAUUGGGCGUAAAGCGCACGUAGGCGGCUUUGUAAGUCGGAUGUGAAAGCCCACGGCUCAACCGUGGAAGUGCAUCCGAAACUACAAGGCUAGAAUCUGAUAGGGGGUCGCGGAAUUCCCGGUGUAGAGGUGAAAUUCGUAGAUAUCGGGAGGAACACCAGUGGCGAAGGCGGCGACCUGGGUCAUGAUUGACGCUGAGGUGCGAAAGCGUGGGGAGCAAACAGGAUUAGAUA